CCCUGGUUAGCUCAGUUGGUAGUGCGCUCCACCUGUAAUGGAGAGGUCCCGGGUUCGAUACCUGGAUCAGGCG
rfam:Ixodes scapularis strain Wikel colony gcontig_1108379733946, whole genome shotgun sequence.